rnacentral:rRNA from 1 species
UGGGGAAUAUUGGGCAAUGGGCGAAAGCCUGACCCAGCAACGCCGCGUGAAGGAAGAAGGCCUUCGGGUUGUAAACUUCUUUGAUCGGGGACGAACGAAAUGACGGUACCCGAGGAACAAGCCACGGCUAACUACGUGCCAGCAGCCGCGGUAAUACGUAGGUGGCAAGCGUUAUACGGAUUUACUGGGUGUGACGGGCGUGUAGGCGGGUCGACAAGUAGGAUGUGAAAUGCACCGGCUCAACUGGUGCGAUGCAACCAAAACUGCCGAUCUUGAGUGUUGGAGAGGAUAGUGGAAUUCCUAGUGUAGCGGUAAAAUGCGUAGAUAUUAGGAGGAACACCAGUGGCGAAGGCGACUAUCUGGACAACAACUGACGCUGAGGCGCGAAAGCGUGGGGAGCAAACA